rnacentral:lncRNA from 1 species
UGAAGAUGUUGUUGCUAAACUAAAUGCUGCUGGAUAUUCUGUUCGUGGACAAUGUCAGUUUAUUUUCCACAUAUUUUAUCAACACAUUCUCAUCAGCUGAAUGUUCAACACUCAAAUCUGUUUUGUUUUGUUCUUUAAAUUUAGCCCUUACUCUCAAGACGGCUCGCCUCCUGCUGACCCUCAUGGAUGCAUCCUUUUGCUGUGUGUCACCACCUGCAGCUCCCUGCAUGCAGAAAACAGAACAGACAGCUCUCACUGGUGAAUUAGAAAUGAGUGGGAGAAGCUAUUUUGCAUAGGAUGCAAUGAGUUGCCAAGGUAUUUAACCUAGGUUCAUUAAUGCUCUUUAACAAGAACGUUCAGGCAGAUAAGACCGGAGACCUGAAUGUGGUGGAGUACUUCAAACUGGAGCACUAUGUGGCAGGGGUCAGGAGAGAGUAUGUGGAGAGCUCAGAGAGCAGGCAUCCAGCCUCUGUCACUCAGAGCCAGAUGAAAAGGGCUUUGGCAGCCCAUGAAUUUAAUCUAGAUGAUGAAACCUUCAGAGUUCUCUGGCUGGAAUAUGGCUCCCAAGGUGGGAUUGAAUAUGACAAGUAUGUAGCAGCCAUGACCAGACUUCAGAUUCUCAAAGAUCGUUUCCUGGCCCAUGUGUUGAACUUGCCAUGUGAUUGUGUAGUCGCCAGAUUCACUUUCAAGCAGUUCAUGAAAUCAGCCGUAGUCUGAAGAUAAAGCAGGAACAGAGGGAUGUCCAUCCAUCAUUUUCACUAACCAUCAAAGUACACAAAUGUAAACUCAGAAUUAAUCUUGACUUUUUUAAGCAAUUCACUUUUAAAAUGUAAAAUUAUUAAUAUUGAUAUUGAUAAAACUGACAAAAAUGCAUCAAAUGUACGUAAUAAAAACGUUUUAAAAAUGCA